rnacentral:misc_RNA from 1 species
AUCGGCGCCGGCCGCGGCAUGGUCUUGGCGAGUUCGUCGAUCACUUCAUACGCGCCGAGCGGCCGAUGGCUCGACAACAACGCGCCCAAAACCUGCCGCCGGAUCGGCGUGAACUUCUGACCGCGUCCCGUGCAAACCUUUUCGGCAUGCAAGAACGCAUCCUCGGCGCAGCGCCCGUGGUCAUGGUUUGGGUCAGGAAAAACCGGCUUCGCUUGUUUCAUUGGCUCAAUAUGUAGUGCGGCUAAUGUGAUUCCGCUCAUAAUUUCAGCGGCAUAAGUUGAUGCAAUGUUUUGCAAUGCAUCAUUUUUAUUGCAUUGCAU